UUUCUUUUUAGCUAAGCUAGUCCCUGUUGGUUAUGGCAUCAAAAAACUUCAGAUCAUGUGUGUAAUAGAAGAUGAUAAAGUCAGCACUGAAGAUUUAGAAGAUCAAAUUCGUGAAUUUGAAGACUUUGUCCAGAGUACAGACAUCGUUGCGUUUAACAAGGUCUAACUUCAGAAAUUCCAGAAAUAAAAAUCUGCGACAACCAACAAACACUCGGCAAUGCCAAUGUAGACUUUAAAUUUAAAUGCAGUGCUGAGAGCCUUAUCUCCACCUGGGAUCCCGCAGUCACAGAGUAUUAAGAAAUAAUUGUACUUAAUACCAUCCUUACUUUGAAUAAAUUUGAGAAAAGGAUGUACAUAGUUGUGAAGGUAAUUCAUCGUUGUGUUGUAAUUAACCUGAGCCGUCUUGUGCUGUUAUGCUAACUUCAGUUGUCUGCAGUGAGCAGUAUGGAAAGUCAAUAAACUCUCAAUUUGUGUUUACUGAAA